UGGUCGGGAGGGCACCGGUGGGACGGUGCUCACGAAUAGACCGAAACGUAUCGUCUCGUAUGGGCGAGGUGCCGUGGCCCGACGGUGUCCUCG
rfam:Roseobacter denitrificans OCh 114, complete genome.